CCUCGGCCACGCCCCCUCCCCAACUACUUAAAAGGACCCUCGGCGCGCUGGCUUCCCUCCUCCGGGCGGGUGUGCGCGCGUCUGGGCGUCGCUCCUCGCGUAAGGUGCGCUGGCUCCGCCCUUCGGGUGACCAGGGAAGCCGCGGAUCCUCACCCAGGUCCCAAAUUCCAAUCCUGGCUCUCCUAGAAGAUGCAGAUCUCAUCGUGUCUAUGUGGAACUUUCGGGAUGAAGUUCAGGUGUCUAGCUGGGCACAGAUGGUCCCGAAGAUCUGGCUCCUGUUGGCUUACCUGCCCCUUCUACCACACCUUCCACACACCCACCCAUGCUUCCGUCCAGAGGAACCAAGCACCUGUGAUUCUUUGACACCUUUUGCCUCCAUACCUUUGCACACAUGGUUCUUUCUGCCUGGAUGCCUUGCUUCUCUGUGGAUGACGACUCACCCUUUCAAAUACGUUUCAGUUGCCCCUUCUUCCUCAAA